ACCCCGGAGCCAGGUUCUACCUACCCAAGGCCGCUGCUGUGCGGAGACCCCCAGGUGAAGCCACAGUCACCAUGUCUGAUCAGGAGGCAAAACCUUCAACUGAGUAUUUGGGAGAUAAGAAUGAAGGAGAAUGCAUUAAAUACAAAGUAAUUGGACAGGAUAGCAGUGAGAUUCACUUCAAWGUGAAAAUGACAACACAUCUCAAGAAACUCAAAGAAUCAUACUGUCAAAGACAGGGAGUUCCAAUGAAUUCACUCUGGUUUCUAUUUGAAGGUCAGAGAAUUGCUGAUAAUCAUACUCCAAAAGAACUGGAAAUGGAGGAAGAAGAUGUGAUUGAAGUUUAUCAGGAACAAACCAUUCAACGGGCCAAGGACCAAACUUAG